rnacentral:rRNA from 1 species
GACGAACGCUGGCGGCGUGCCUAAUACAUGCAAGUAGAACGCUGAAGGAGGAGCUUGCUUCUCUGGAUGAGUUGCGAACGGGUGAGUAACGCGUAGGUAACCUGCCUGGUAGCGGGGGAUAACUAUUGGAAACGAUAGCUAAUACCGCAUAAGAGUAGAUGUCGCAUGACAUUUGCUUAAAAGGUGCAAUUGCAUCCCUACCAGAUGGACCCGCGUUGUAUUAGCUAGUUGGUGAGGUAACGGCUCACCAAGGCAACGAUACAUAGCCGACCUGAGAGGGGGAUCGGCCACCCUGGGACUGGGACACGGCCCAGACUCCUACGGGAGGCAGCCGGAGGGAAUCUUCGGCAAUGGACGGAAGUCUGACCGAGCAACGCCGCGGGAGUGAAGAAGGUUUUCGGAUCGUAAAGCUCUGUUGUAAGAGAAGAACGAGUGUGAGAGUGGAAAGUUCACACUGUGACGGUAUCUUACCAGAAAGGGACGGCUAACUACGUG